CAGAGUUUUACUCUGUUGCCCAGGCAGGAGUGCAAUGGCGUGAUCUUGGGUCACUGGAACCUCCACUUUCUGGAUUCAAGCGAUUCUUUUGCCUCAGCUUCCUGGGUAUCUGGAACUACAGGUGCCCACCACCAUGCCUGGCUAAUUUUUGUAUUUUUAGUAGAAAUGGGGUUUCACCAUAUUGGCCAGGCUGGUCUCAAACUCCUGACCUCCAGUGAUCCACCUGCCUUGGCCUCCUAAAGUGCUAGGAUUACAGGCGUGAGCCACCGUGCCCGGCCUGUAUUUUUAUAGGUUGUGAAUAUCCUUUUAUUCUCACCUUUCCCUCACCUAGCAGUAACUGGAAGGUGCUAAUUGGCCCAUCUAUGAGCACCUAAAACGCUCCAUCUGAAAAUGCCCACCUCCUGCCCAUGCACCUGUAAGUUGUCCAUCCCUGCACUCUCUGGCCUCCCACCCUCUAGGGGAGGUCUGCUUCCUUCACUUUGGAGAGGGCUGCUGCGCAAGCCAUUGUAGCCCCAUUUUAUAUACAAGGAAACUGAGGCAAGCAUACAGUGAAACAACUUGGCUGAGCUAGAACAGAGUCUCAGGACUACCUGUCAAAGAAGAUAAAUGGACUAGUCAAGGAAAGUUGGGGAGGAAUUCAAACCACAUGCCUGGCCUAGGCUGACAGUGAGGCUUAAUGCAGGUAACCACACUUCACAUCCUGUGCCGGGUUUGAAGUGCUCUGGUGAUCUGCAAAGAGAGCCUCAACACAGCCAACUCACUGCCAAAAAAGAAAUUCUCACUCAGAAUAUUGGCCAAACAACAUUUUUAUUUGAAAGAAACCAAGCCAAAUAAAAACACAUAGUAUUUUCUUCUCAUGCCUUUCCUUGCCUGGGAUAUUUAUUUAUUUACUUUUCUUUCAUUCUCCUGACCACCUCUGACAUUGUUUUUAUUUUGAGGAGAUUUAAAAAUAACUUCCCUGUACUCAUUCAUCUUGCUCUCCUGAGAUAGAGGGAAUUUUCACAUUUUCCAGCCAGUUUUAAUGUAGCAGAAACAAUCAGAGGUGCUGCUGUGACUUUUGGUGUAUUAGAAAAGGGGAGGGCUGGGGCAGGUGGGCUUGGCCAAUAAAAUACAGCUGGGGAACAGGAAACUGCAGAGAGAUUUCCCAGACUUGGCCUGCGCUGCAGCCCCGCUGUGCUCUCCUGUGAAGCUGCACCAGGCCUCUGGGCUGAAUUCCCACCUGGGCUUGAGAGGGCCCUCCCAUGUUGGUCCUUCUUGCUCCCUAGUGCAAGACUUCCUUUGCCCACAACGACACUGCCUCCCAUGUACAGAACAGUGCUAUCGCUAUGACUCAUUUCUGCAUCUUGAUUGCUGAGAUCACUGAUCAGGUUUGUGACAAAACAGCAUCAAAUCUGAAGAGUUGUGUCCUCCCCGCACCACCCCCCUCGCCCCCACCAUUAUUUGCUCACCUUGAAGGUAAUCCAGGAUAGGAGUCCCUCUGAAGCAAACAGAACAUCCAUCAAAGACCCGAAAGAACAUAAGGUAAUUGGCCGGGUGCGGUGGGUCAUGCCUGUAAUCCCAGCACUUUGGGAGGCCGAGGCGGGUGGAUCACAAGGUCAGGAGUUCGAGACCAGCUUGGCUAACAUGGUGAAACCCCGUCUCUACUAAAAAUACAAAAAUUAACUGGGCAUGGAGGCGUGCGCCUGUGAUCCCAGCUACUCAGGAGGCUGAGGCAGGAGAGUCGCUGGAACCCAGGAGGUGGAGGUUGCAGUGAGCCGAGAUUGCGCCAUUGCACUCCAGCCUGGGUGACAGGGCAAGACUCCAUCUCAAAAAAAAAAGGAAAGAAGAAAAGGAAUAUAAAGUAAUUUAUUCCAGCUUGUUUUCUGUUUAUUUCAUUGUUCCAAGCAUGAUUCCCUCCAUUCCAUCUGCAAGUUGAAUUCCAGAUCAUCUUCCCAAUCAUCCUCCCUGAAGGGCAUUUCUGAGAAUGUCAUUCAAACUACUUCCAUGGUUUUUCUGUGGGCCUUUGCUUAUUGCUGUUUCCUUGCCCUUGAAUGGCCUUCCCCGGGGUUUUUGUGUUACUACCCAUUCCUCUAGGCUCAGUUCUAAUUCCACCUCCUCCACCAUAAAGCCUUCUUGGAGGAAAUUAAGUGUAAAAGCCCAUGCUCUAGAACUGGGAUUACCUGGAGAUUGUCAUUAUUAUUAUAAUUAUUAUAUACAUGUUCAUGGUGAUGAUGGUGGUGGAGGUGAAUUCCAAGUUAUUCACUUGCUAGCUAUACAACUUAGAGGUAUUUGCUUAAUCAUUGUCUCAGUUGCCAUAUCUGUAAAGUGGGAAUAAUAUUUAUGUCUAUUUCAUAGAACUUUUGAGAAUACUUACUGAGUUAAAAGAUGUGAAGUAGUUAGAUUAGUUAAGUGUUCAAUAUCAUCUUCUCUAUAAAAUCAAGUUGAUUUGGACUUCUAUAAUAAUUCUUACAGCCUUCAUGCAUUUCUUAAAUAAAUACUUGUCAAGGUUAUAUGUGCUAGGCACUCUGUGAGGAAGAUAAUCACAGUGUAGGAUGCCGUGUUUAUAGUAUUGUAUGUUUGACUCCUGUCCUUGUUCUCAGGCCGCAAAUCCUAUCUAUGAAGAUAGGCACUUCCAUUCAUUCUGAAGUCCUCACAUAGUAGUUAUUCAGUGAAUGUACCCUGGGAUCCACUUUUCACCUUUCCCCUUACCUGCUUUGUGCUUCAAGAAACUGACUUCAACAGACAGCAUCAUCUGGGCUUCUUUACCCUGUAGUGUUCAGCUGAGUUCAGCCAAUGGAAGACACUAGUAGAAGACUGGAAGGAUAGAGGAGAGAAAGAUUGGAAUAUUUAUUCCCAUCUCAUACUACAGUUUUUGUAGUGAUGGUUCUUCCUAUUGGACAGCUUCCACCUAUAACUACAGUUCUCUCCUGGUUCCAGAAACUGCUUUCUCCACUUCUGACCUAGGAGUAGCCACAGCUCCCAGCUGUUGUUAGACCCCAGGUGUAUUUUGUCAUCUCUUGUUACUUCCCUUAACCCUGCCACAGCUCUGAAAAUAGUCCAGUAAUUAAAUACUUUUUGAGCUA